GCUAAGGUGGCAGAGCCUGGUAAUUGCGGAAGGCCUAAGACCUUUAAUUCAGGGGUUCAACCCCCCUCCUUCAGCU
rnacentral:tRNA from 1 species